UAAACAUCUCUCAAAUAUUUGGAAUGUGAAGGGCUUAUAUAUAAGAAUAAUAAUGGGCGGAUUAUUCACUCCUGUGCUUCCCUAUUUCAUUGCCCCCACCGUAAUUCGGUCAAAUCUGACUGCGGUAAAUCAAUAAGAUUUACAAUUGGAGGCCUUAUUUAGGCGGGCGACGAGGAAGCGGUAGCAGCAUCAGGAAUCUGAUUGGUUGGUGAUGAUGAUGGACGACGACGACGACGAUGACGAUGGAGUUGACAACGAGAGAGAGCACGCUGGUCGGCGCUCAUGGAAGAUGGGGUCCACGGCUGCUUACUUGCGUGCUCCCCCUCGUUGUCACCCCUUCUCUCUUAGUGAUCUCAUCGCCGCGAAAUAGCUUCAAGCUUUCUUUUUUUUUGGUAGGGUUUCAUAUUUUGCUCUUAAAUUAAAUGUUCUUAACUGAAAAGAUGCAUGCCUCAAUUUGUUUCCUUGAAAGAAAAAACAGCUAAAAUGUUGUGUAGCUAAGCGAAGAUGCUGUGAUUGUGUACAGUAGAUAUGGGCUUAUCAAUUACUAUUAGUAUUUCGUUAAAAUUUUAUUUUUUAAUUAAUUUUUUGGGAGCUUCAGAUUCUAACUGAUAGGAUUGGUACUAUGCGAUCUUGUAAAAUUUAUGUUUGGUGUUAUUAUCAGUUUGUUAUUUGGUAUAUUAA